UCCGCUUCCUCUGUGUUCCUUUGGAGCCCAGGGUUUGAAAGGCUGCAGAAAAGCACACUGGUCCUGAAGCAGGGAGAUGCCAAGUUUGAACACUGGCUCUUUCACCCUUGUGUGUGCGGCUCUCAGAUCUGCCCGCACGCCUGAGCCUCAUCUUAUUUGACAGUUUGUGAAGCAUUUAACCCAACCGAGCGCUCACCCUUCCUGGCUUCCCUUCUUCCUCCACCUCAGCGAGCAGCCUUCCAGCCUGCUCUUCCUCCAGUUUCCAGGACGGGAACUUUUCCCUCCGAGGGGCACUUAAAGAGCCUGCUGCUGUUCAAACAACCACGUGUUUGGAGAUAUCUUUGCCAUGAUUGGAGGAGGAAUGGUCUAGUUCUGGCCAAGGAGAGAGAAGGAAGACAUUUGAAGGGGGAAAAGUUUUUCUCCCGGAUAACAAGAGUGGUAAAUGCCUUCUUUUGCAUCCCAUCCCUCUCCUCUUGUUUGGGGUUCUAUCAUGUGUGGGGUGAUGUUUGGAGUUUUAGCAGCCAUCUUGUGACCAUGAGGCCAAGACCUACAGACAUACAGAUAUAUCAAUCCAGUGCCCCAAUACAAGCAGGUAUCAAAUUCCCCCAUCUUCCAACUUCCUGUUAUGUGAGAUAAUUAAAUGAGUUUCCUGCUUAAGGCACAAUUUGUUGGAUAUCCUGAUAUCUGCAGUUGAAGGCAUUCUUCACUGAUAAGUUUUGUAAGUAAUCUUAUUGAGAUCAUUGUAGAACCUGUGAAUUUUUAUGAGAGAUUGAGUCACUGAUCAUCCAGGUGAUGGCGCAGGGCAAUUUUCUCAGAAAGUGACCAGGUCAUGUCCAUCUUGAGUGGCUGCCUCCCAUUCCUGUCUCUUGGCCUCUGACCUCCCUGAGCAAAGGGCAAAGAGCUUCCUUUCUUGGGCUCUGUCCAAAGCUCUCCAUCCAUCUCCUUUCCCGCCCACUGGAGCUGGGGAGUGAGCAUUUCAGCUCCUGGAUUUCCUCCUUAGCAACUCAUGAGAAAGGCACUGAGAUGAAUUUUGUUGGAAAAUUGAAAAGCAGGUUGGUAAAACCCUGAUGAAGACCACACUGUGAGUCAUGAGGCACCCACGGCCACAUCCUCCAGACUUGCUACUGUCACGCCUCGGUGCCUGGCCUCCCUGGGCUUUAAUCAUGUCAGCAUCAAGCAGGUGGUGCAGGAUUCCCUGAGCUAACAGGAGCGCUGAAGCCGAGACUGGCUUGGCCAAGCCUCCUCGGAAGCAAGGGUCUGGCUCUGCCCACCCAGCCUUCCUUCCCGCUUCCUCCGAGUGCCAGAUCCACAUCGAGUCUCAACCGUUCUCACCUCUGCUGGCUCCCACCCUUUUCCCUGCACAGAUGUUUUCCCCAAUAAAUCUCUUACAAAUCUAA